rnacentral:lncRNA from 1 species
GGUUCCCGUUAUGCCCACUUUCUGAAGGGUUUUUAUCAGCAAUGGGUGUUGGAUUUUGUCAAAGGCUUUUUCCACAUCUCUUGAGAGGAUCAUAUGGUUUUUAUUCUUCAGUUUGUUAAUGUGGUGUAUCACACAGAUGGAUUUGCGGAUAUUGAAGAACCCUUGCAUCCUUGGGAUAAAUCCCACUUGAUCAUGAUGUACAAUCCUUUUAAUGUAUUGUUGGAUGUGGUUUGCUAGUAUUUUGUUGAGGAUUUUUGCAUUGAUGUUCAUCAGUGAUAUUGGCCUGUAGUUUUCUUUUUAUGUGGAGUCUUUGUCUGGUUUUGGUACCAGGGUGACGGUGGCCUCAAAGAAUGAGUUUGGGAGUAUCCCUUCUUCUGCAAUUUUCUGCCAUAGUUUCAGAAGGAUAGGUGUUAGCUCUUUUCUAAAUGUUUGAUAGAAUUCGCCUGUGAAGCCAUCUGGUCCUGAACUUUUGUUUGUUGGAAGUUUUUUAAUCACAGUUUCCAUUUCAGUUCUUGUGAUGGGUCCAUUCAUCUUUUCUAUUUCAUCUUGGUUUGGUCUUGGAAGAUUGUACUUUUCUAAGAAUUUCUUGUUUAUUUGAGCUUUUUCUUGUUUCCUGAGGUGGGCUUGUAUUGCUAUAAACUUUCCUCUUAGAACGGCUUUUGCUGCAUCCCAUAGGUUUUGGAGUGUCGUAUCUUCAUUGUCAUUUGCUGCUAGGUAUUUUUUAAUUUCCUCUUUGAUUUCUUCAGUGAUCCAUUGGUUGUUUAGUAGCAUGUUGUUGAGUCUCCACGUGUUUGUGUUUUUUGCAGUUUUUUUCUUGUUGUUGAUUUCCAGUCGUAUAGCAUUGUGGUCGGAAAAGAUGCUUGAUAUGAUUUCAAUUUUCUUAAAGUUACUGAGGUUGGAUUUGUAGCCCAGGAUAUGAUCAAUCUUAGAGAAUGUUCCAUGUGCACUUGAGAAGAAUGUGUAUUCUGUUGCUUUUGGAUGGAAUGUCCUAUAAAUAUCUAUUAAGUCCAUCUGGUUUAAUGCUUCAUUCAGGGCCUGUGUUUCCUUAUUGAUUUUCUGUCUGGUUGAUCUGUCCAUUGCUGUAAGUGGGGUGUUAAAGUCCCCCACUAUGAUUGUGUUAUUGUCGAUUUCUCCUUUUAAGGUUGUUAGCAGUUGCCUUAUAUAUUGUGGUGAACCUGUGUUGGGUGCGUAGAUAUUUAAAAUUGUUAUAUCAUCUUCUUGGAUUGAUCCUUUGAUCAUUAUGUAAUGUCCUUCUUUGUCCCUUAAAAUAUUCUUCAUUUUAAAGUCUAUUUUGUCUGAUAUGAGUAUUGCUACUCCAGCUUUCUUUUGAUCCCCGUUU